rnacentral:lncRNA from 1 species
GAACAGUUCCCUUCUCCUCUUUAGAGCAGAAGGCAACAGCAGUAACAGGUAAUUAGCAAGAACUGGAAGGACGGCAUAUUUUCUACACUGGGUGACAAUAUUGAGUUCAAUUGAGUGAAAGAAACAACCACAUGACAGGAAACAUAGCUAACAACAUCUCUUGAGCUUUCUGCCUCGCAGCUUCAGCCCCAAGAUAGACACCAAGCUGACUCUCUUUCAGCUUCAAAUCAAAUAUCCCAAGGAAGAGACGCAUCAAUCCAGCUUGGAACAGAUACCAUCUUUGCACAGGAUUUAGUGAAUCACAGCUCUAUCCCGUGAGAAUUUAAAAUGCCUAUUUCCCAAACGUGCCCACCAAGUACUUUCAUCCAAAAACAUUUACAUCUCGGGUGAACUCAAGUUGGUGUCAAGACAGUUUGGGAAAUGCUGACCUUGAUCGUGACAGACUCAAAAAAAUCUCAAGGAGGGCUGCCAUCAUCACAAAGACUUCUGAUCCAUCUAGUUUUGUUACUGAGACUUCUCUGAAGCAGCUGUCUCCCCCCCAAGCUUUCUGACUGUUUCAGGCACAAAGAGAAGGAAAAACAGGAAGAAAUUCCAGAAGACGAUUAUUGGACCCUAUUCUUGGAUAAGAUGCCUUCAAGUCUCGCCCACCAGCAAAGCUGCAAUAGGAGUUUUGAUUCUUUUGUGAAGGAGAAACCUUCUUUUGCAAGUUUCACGGGAAGAGAUUUAUUUGUUUGCUUUUUGUGUCUUGUUAUUUGCCAUUAACUUGAUCAAUUCAAUUCUCUAAUGGACUUUGUACUCUAAAAACACAUUUCUUGUUCAGGACUUGGGCGAAAAAACACCCUCCACGCACAGGUAUUUUCAAUUUUUUAAAAUCUAUCCUUUAGGUGAGUCUGUUGAAAAUUACUAUGAUAAUGUCUGCAGGUGGUCAGGGAUGAUAGACUCAGACGUAAGGCUUUGUCGCUGGCGAGAUCUGUCCGCAUUGCAGGAAGGAAAGAGCAAGAGCUUACCAACCAGAAGCUGGGCAGCCUCCACUCUCCAGUUCCUCAACAUAUCAAAACUACAGACUUUCCUGUAUUCAUAAAGGCUACUAAGGUCCCUGCUAGAUUAGCCUUGAGGCCAAUGAAGCAGGAGGGACCUCGUGACAGUAGGUGGGCAAGGAGACCUCUGAACACUCCUCUUGUAGGAGACACCAGACCUCAUGGUCCUAAGUUAGCAACCUUAAAAAGGACUAUUUCAAGAGGGCCUCAUGACACACAUUUGAAA